CUUUCAAGACAGCCGGCCACAUACCUGAAGAACAAAGAACAAACACACUGACGGUUUAGGCAGAUUAACAAAUUGUCAGUGUACCCAACUUGUAAGAAUGAGUGCCACAACAAUUGAAAAAAGACCUCUCCUCACACCUGGCAUUCCCAAUCUAGUCUAAAUACACAGCGUGUACUUUCAAACCAGCUUAAUAGCAAUGCCUUAGAAUUCACUAAAACACCAGUUCAACACAUUUCUGUAACAGUUACCAAUCCAUUCCCAAGGAAUUCCAUGUGCAUUAUUUUGCUGUCUGGCAAUUUACAUUGGACAGGUCAUCCCACAGAACUCAGGACACAAGCUGAGUGUAAGCGGCUGACAGAAGUCUCCAAAAAAAGAAUACAGUGUAACAGGAUUUCUGGUCAAAACCAGCAGAGCAGAAAACCACAGCAUAGUCCAAAUCAAAGUAACCCAAUCAGAUCAGCCAAAGUCAGGAUGCCCAAAGUACUUUUUAACACGUUCACCAAACUGAAGCUGGAAUGGCUUUUCCUGGAAAAACAAUGACUCACAUAAACUACGAGAGACAUAGAUGGGAUUGUUGUACUAUCUUUUGAGAUGGCUAGUCAAUUGGAUAUUGUUGUCGGGGGUGGAGCUUGAAGUUGUGGCUGAAAUGUACCGGUACUUAUCUGAGUGCAUCCCAGUCUCUCAUCUAUGAAUGAUAAUGCUAAAGACUUCACCAUGAUAACCACAUUAUGUAUGUUUGGUAAGUGGGCAUCACUAUCAAACAUGUUUCUAAUUUGAUUUGGAACCUUCUUUACAUUUCUUUGUUCUAUUUGUGCAGUUUGGUUGUCUCUACCAAGUUACAGUGAACCUGUGCAGGUUAUUCCUUCUAGACUGCCAGUCUCUGUCCAUGCUGAGAGGUUCUAUAACAUCUCACACCCACGUGACGUCUGUGGAGACAUGAGAUAUGAUGUUCUGCAGUUCACCUGUUGUGAUGGAAUACUACAUGAAGGGGCAAGGCUGUCCUGCUGCGGAAGCAAUGCCUUCAGCAUCAACCAGGCAUCUUGUUGUCAAGGUCAGCUGACUGCUAAUGUGAGCCAGCUUGUGUCAGAUUGCUGCGGGUACAAAGCCUACGACCCACUCAACUAUCUGUGCUGUAACAAACGGAUACUUAAAAGGACCAAACCCUAUUCCAAGUGUUGUGGAAAAGAGCUUUUUGACAGUCACCAGCUUUGCUGUGGAGUGGAAAAGAUAGUCCUGACCAAAAUCUCCAGUAACCAUAAGUGCUGUGGAAACCAACAGUACGACAACAGAAGCCAAUGCUGCUGCAAUUAUACUGUAGUAACCACAAGGACUCUGGAUGGAAAAUGCUGUGUAUCAAAUGACACAGUGGUGACAAAACCGGCCCUGAAAAAUAGACCUAACAACUGUCCUCCUGGGGAGAAGGCCUGUGGUGAAGCCUGUUAUGACCCAACAACAGAGCAGUGCUGUAAUACCUCUUUCCAGGGGCCAUAUCCCUCUGGCCAGAAAUGCUAUCAAGGUCAGACUGCUGACUGUGGAUCCUCACCUUACAAUCCAGAAAAAGAGACGUGUUGUGCUGGGAGUGUGAAAAACAGGGUGCAUGGAAACAAUCUGGUAAGUCUUUUAGCCAACAGGGCUAAGG
ensembl:lncRNA